rnacentral:lncRNA from 1 species
UGUGAAUUGUCGUGAAGAAAUGAAUGUCCUCUCAACACGUCAGCUAGUGUUUAUGUGCAUACCGUUGAAUCCAAUGUGACCUACCAUCAGCUUUUUUUUAUCAAUUUUUCCGAACGAAAGCAACUAUCCUUUAUGACGGAUUCAAAUGCAAAGAUAAAGACAACGGAAGAGUUGCUGGUCCUGAAAACGGCACGAAAGUUUAAGCGUAUUUUAGAGUUGUUUUUUCCUCCCGAGAAUUCUCGAAAUAUUUGGCCUUUGGUGCCUUUCAUCAUCCUACACCACUUUAUACAGACACUUUUUAUGAUUAUGCCUUUACUUGAAACAAAAAAUACACAACAUCUAACGGUAACUGCCACCCUUGCGCUUAAAAUUCAUUCCAUCAUAUCGCCUCUUAUGUACAUAAACCUUGCCGUUUGGUGGCAAAAGAGAGAUGUUUUGAUUGAAUUUACCCAGAAACUCAACAACAUUUUACUUGACGACCAGUUCCCCCUUCCAGCUUCCCUACGCACGUCAAUUAUCACGGAUCUGGAAUCGCGUCACCGGCUUAUGGUCCUCUCCGUGACGCCGGUCACCCAAAUUAUGCUUUUGUUUUACUUUUUGCCUCCCAUCGUCACAUUUUUCCUCAAUCCAUCGCCAUCACGCCAGCUCAACCUUCCUCUGGGUCUGAAUGUACCAAACCCGCUCUCUUUCCUCGGAUUCAGCCCUAAUGACGUCACACGGGCACUUGUUUACUUCUGUAUUAGCGUCUCCAUUGCGACCCAGUUCUAUGUCAUACACAUUGGCACUUUGCUCGUAUUCAUAACUGUGGAUGCCUUGAAGACUGCGUUUUUUAUAAGUGGGAUUAGUUUUGAAACCAUUGGCCAUGACGACUUUUCACAAAGGGAGCAAUUUGUGACCGCUGUCACACAUCAUCAACGUCUGUUCAGGUUGUCCUCAAAACUGAAGGAAGUUAUUGAGCCCAUACUGGAAGUAGCUUUGACCGGAGCCAUGACCUACAUUGUAAUUGGUGAAUUAGCAAUUAUUCAGGAAUUUCGUGACAACUUCAAAAUGAUAGCCGCAAUCGUGAUAACUCUUGGAAUUGUUUACGCUGAUUUCAUUUUAAUGGGCUCUACCUCUCACAUUGCUGAAGAUGUGGCGAUGCGAAUUUACUUCAAUGAACAUUGUGUUGGACGAAAACAUGAGUUUGCGCAGCAUUUUCCCUUCAUGAUAAUGAGGUCAAACAAAGCAGUAAAAUUCCGAAUUUACAACUGUUGGGCGAUUACGUUUGAGAAUUCUGUCAAGUACACGCAGCUGAUGUACAGUUUUUAUAUUGUUUUGAAUUCUGCAACUUCAAAAUACAACAAGAACAUCAAUCUUUAUUCUGUAACAAAUCACCAGGGUUAGUCUUCAACAUGAUGUAAUUGAAGAGAAAAUCAACAGCCAAUUUUGAAUCUUUUACAUGCUAUUUAAAAGCCAUCGACGUGCCAAUCUUAAACUUUUACUUAACUUUAUCUUAACCUAAUGUAACUACUUAUUAUUUGCACUGACAAAUUGACCCAGGUUUGAGUUCUUCCUUGAACGGUCCAAGUAAAUGCCCAUAUGUAGGUAACAAAUUUUCAGAAGACGGUGAAUAGUGUGAAUUUUAAUGAGGGUCUCUAUUAUUUAAACGUUUUUUCCCCCAUUCUUGCUUGUUGCGAAGUCAGUUGCCCGAUAACCUCUGGUCUGGGAAGGUAGACCUAUGUGGCGUUUGGGUGUCAUAGAACGCCAGAGUGUGAUGUAGGAGCAACUAUAUAUGUAUAUAUGCAUACCUUUAUUAAAUUUUUCCUUCUUUUUUUACUAUUUCUUGAUUUUUACAGGUAGUUAAACAGCACACCUUAUACAUCUACCAUAUGAUUAUCUUUGUUUUCGGAUGCAGACCUAUGUAAUUAUGAGAAAUCUAUCAUCUUCAUUUUACCCUUUUUCAGCGUUUUUAGAUGUUUUAGUCGUUUCGCCGCUAUAGGGGUAAAAAUUUAUUUUGGAGGUGUCCAGUAGAACUCUGCUCCCACUCAAUUUUCCUGCUGAAGCCGAAUACGGCCUCAGAUUUUUUCUAGAAAUUACACAUUUUCUGGGAAAUGAAUUUUCCUGAAAAAAAAUGCUU